CCUGCUUCCUUCCCUGAGUUCUUAGAGGGAACAGAUCACAUGUGAUUGCACCAUCUUGGUUUUCAUUACUCAACAACCAAUCCAUCAUUGCCGGCUCUUCGAAUUGUGGUCCUUUGACAAUCGUGUUGUAUUUAUCAUCGAAUCCUUACAAACUUUUUAUGUAUUUUAGUUUUUCAAAACAUAAAAUUGUAAAAUGGGAAGAAUUUGGAAAGCGAAAAGGGUAGCAUAAUUGGUAUUGCUGCUUCAUGUUGCUGUAACUGCGGAGGGACCGGAGGGACCCUAGCUAUCUAGCUUGUAGAGAUAUGGCUGCAGGCAGCGAGGCAGAGCCGCCUCACCAUGGCUGCGAAACUUGGUUGAGUACUAGAUAUGGCAGAUUAAAGCAGAGGGAUGAAGUUUUCCUGUGCUUAGAUUGAAAGUUUCCAAUUAAUUUGUUUAGUAGUCGAUUUCAGUUCAUAAAAAAAGUACUACAAAUUGAGGCAAUUGGUAGUAUGAUGAACAAUACAUAAACACUUGAACCUGCUUAAUUGUAGUCGGUUAAGUUCUUAACAAAACAAGAAGUUUGUACCAAGACAAUGGGUACCUAGCCGGAACUCGUCUCUGGGCGUCCUCCCUCUCUAGUAUGAUGAUCAUCUCCGGCGUCUAUCUCUGGCAUUUCAGGUGAGGUGCAUUUCUUCUCUCAAGUGAGACGCACUGUUCUGCCCCGUAUUGAUGGUUUCCUGCUGCCCAUCCAUCCUCUGGCUCGCUUUGCCCCUUUGCAUUCUGGUAGCAAAUACAAUUGCACUUCAGCUCCGGCUCUUCCCCAUCAACCUACAAUAUGGUUUAGCCCUAUCGUCGUCCUCCUCCUUAUCGCGAGAUGGAGCAGCUCACCAGUGUUCCGGAGCCCCUGUCAACUGCAACACCCCAUGCCUCCGAGGAAGACGGUGGGAGCGGAAGUUUGUAAUGCCACAGGUUUUCCCAAGCCGUGUGCAGCGGGAGUUUGGGGUUCAACCAAGGUCGAGUUGUGGUGGGGGAGAGAUGCCCGGUUUGGAACGACAAGGAAUUGGUGGGGGGACGGCGAUUGCAGCAGAAGAAAAGAAACAAUCUGGCUUUUCUUUUCUGCACGUCAUUGUUGAUGACGAGCAUCCGGUGGACAAGAGAAACAAGUGUACUCCUGAUUUCUCAACACUCGCAGCAGAACAAUGAAGAAUAAAGAGUUGGAAGUAUCGUUUUUGUGAAGUUUGCGGUUGAAGCAGGAUCAGAUCUGGAAAGCUCAAGCGGCUAAUAUUGUUCAACUUAACAAGAGUCGUUAUCAUUUUAUCAGCUUGCAGACCAUUGGGAACUAUGUAAUUCACAAAAUGAAAGUGGGCGCAUCUCAAAGGAUAAUAACGACCAUGCAACAACGGUCUGUUUCACAGAAAAAAGUGAUUGUGGAACAGGGUGUGACGGUGAAAAUGAGAAGUGAAAGUCAUAAAGAAAGCAAAAAAAAAAAAAAAAGAACGGUAAUGUUUGAUAGGAAAAAUGACUGGGAAUCGAGGACACUCUUGAAUCAAGUGUAUAUUUGAAAGUCCCCAUUGGUUUAGCAAAUUAGCAGUUCUUCUUAUUUCAGUAUGUGCAGUUUUCCAAUUGUACAAUAUAUGUUUUUUGGUGAUUAUAAUGUAGCGGUUCUGGUCUCAAUGUCCACUGUGGUAGUCAUUCUUUGCAAUCGUCUCAAUUUUUGUUGUAUGCAAAUAGGUUAUUUUCUCGAUUAAAUGCUGUAGUUUUAUGUGCUUAGAAGCUCAUGUUUUCUGUCUUCCUAGAGAGAGAGGCAAUUUUAGUUAAUCAAAAUUUCAUUUCCGGUACAUGAGUUUUUGAUGUCGUGAACAUUUCAUUCUUCUGAUUUCAUGCUAGAAACUCUGAUUCAGGUCAAUGGCAGCGUUGUCCCUUUAAAUUGGUUGUGCUCCAUUGAUGUUUGUUGAAAGCUCAAUAGUUGAACUCAAAUUACGAACACAAGUUGGGAGAAACUUAGGCACUAAAAGGCAAUAUUUCAAGGAAUACUGCUACAAGUGGUCAAGGCAAAAAAAAAAGAAAAAAGGAACAAUGUGUUGAUUAAUCUCUUGCAUGUGGAAUAUACAAGAGGCAGAUGAAUGAAAAAACGUCGACACCUACUGGUUCAUCUUUUCAACAGCAGCAGCAGAUGGACGGCCAUUGUCAAGGAUCUGUAAUGCCACUGAGGUUUUUCCAGGUUGUGUGCAGGGGGGAAAGUUGGGGUUCCACCGAAGUCGUGUUGUGGUGGGGGAGAAAUGCGUGGUUUAUAAGGACAAGAAAUUGGUAGGGGGACGGCCAUUGCCAGAAAGAAUGAAAAAAAUCCCACUUUUCUUAUCUGCACAGCAUUGUUGAUGAGGAGCAUCCGGUGGAACAGAGAAAAACAAGUAGUAUAUUCCUGAUUUCUCAACGCUCACAGCAGAAGAAUGAAGAAUGGAGAGUUGGAAGUAUCGUUUUUUGUGAAGUGUUCUGUUGAAGCAGCAUCGGAUCUGGAAUGCUCAAACGGCUAAGCUCCCAUCUGGUCUUUAGCUUAAUAAGAAUCGUUAUCAUUUUAUGAGCUUGCAGUCCUUUAGGUCCUAUGUAAUUCACAAAAUGAAAGUGGGGGCAUCUCAAAGGAUACGAACGAUCAUGCAACAACAGUGAGUAGAAGACAGGUCACGGUUUGUUUCACAGAAAAAGUGAUUGUGGAACAGAGUGUGACGGUGAGACAAGAGAAGGACAGAUUAAGAAAGUAAAAAUUGAACAGUAAUAAAAAUGUUUGAUAGGAUAAGUGAUUGGGAAUCGAUGAGAGACUCUCUUCAAGUAUACAAUUGGGAGUCCCAUUCAUUUGACUGUUGUCCUUAUUCCAAUACGCAGUUUUUGAAUUGUAUAAUAUAUAUGUUUGGAGAUUAUGUAGCGCUCUGGUCUCAAUGGCCAUUGUGGUAGUCAUUCCGUACAAUCGUCCUAAUUUUCAUUGCGUGCAUUUAGGUUCUUUUCUCAAUUAAAUGUCGUAGUUUUAUGAGCUUAUAAGCUCAUGUUUACUGUCUUCUCAGACAGAAACAUCUUUAGUUAAUCAAAGUUUCAUUUCUAGCAUGUGAGUUUAUGAUUUCGUGAACGUUUCAUUCUUCUGAUUUGAUGCUACAAACUGUGAUUCCGGAAAAUGACCGUGUUGUCCCCUUAAAUUGGUUGUACUCCAUUGGUGACUCUGGAAGCCCUUUGAUCGAACUCAAAAUACGAACAGAAAUUGGGAGGAACUUUUAAGGCACGAAAAGACGAUGUUCCAAGGAAUACUGCUACAUGUGGUCAAGGCAAAAGAAAUAAAAAAAAGGAACAAGGUGUUGAUUAAUCUCUUGCAUGUGGAAUAUACAAGAGGCAGAUGAAUGGGAAAGCGUCAACACUUACUGGUUCAUCUUCUCAACAGCAGCAGCAGAUGGUUGCAAUGCAAGAAACUUACUUGCAGGACAGAGCAUAGGCUCCUCAGAAUGUUGAAUCAAUCAUUCAUGAGUUCCGGGGUAUCUUCACUAAACUCGCUAACAUGGAGCGAGAGAGAGAUGUAAUUCAGGUGUAGUUCAUGCAGUUCUCACAU